UUAGAGUUUGAUCCUGGCUCAGCGCGAACGCUGGCGGCGUGCCUAACACAUGCAAGUCGUGCGGAGGGGUGAUGAGCCCCUCAGCGGCAAACGGGUGAGUAACACGUGAGUAACCUACCCUUGGGAAGGGGAUAACCCUCCGAAAGGAGGGCUAAUACCCUAUACUGCCGGGGACUACUAAGGUCUCCCGGUGAAAGGUGGCCUCUGCUCUGCAUGCUACCGCCCAAGGAGGGGCUCGCGGCCCAUCAGGUAGUUGGUGGGGUAACGGCCUACCAAGCCUAUGACGGGUAGCCGGCCUGAGAGGGUGGUCGGCCACAGUGGGACUGAGACACGGCCCACACCCCUACGGGGGGCAGCAGUGGGGAAUCGUGGGCAAUGGGCGAAAGCCUGACCCCGCGACGCCGCGUGGAGGAAGAAGCCCUUCGGGGUGUAAACUCCUGUCGGGGGGGACGAUGUGUCUUGGGGUGAAUAAUCCCAGGGCAUGACGGUACCCCCAGAGGAAGGGACGGCUAACUACGUGCCAGCAGCCGCGGUAAUACGUAGGUCCCGAGCGUUGCGCGAAUUCACUGGGGCGUAAAGCGUCCGCAGCCGGACGGGUAAGCGGUGCGUCAAAGCCCACCGCUCAACGGUGGAACAGCGUACCGAACUGCCUGUCUUGAGGCACGCUUAUGCAGG
rnacentral:rRNA from 1 species